AAUAGCGGCUGCACCAGAGUUCGAGUGCCCAUUAACGUCCAAUCUUGGAAGCUAAACUAGGCUGUGCCUGGUUAGUACUUGGGACAUCAUCUUGGAAGACCAGGGGCUGCUAGCC
rnacentral:rRNA from 12 species